UCUGGAUCGGGGAUCACUCAGACUCUCACGCCAUCGUCUUCAACCUCCAAACACGCCAUCGUCUUCAACCUCCAAACACGCCAUCGUCUUCCCCACAUAGACACCGCCGCCGUCCUCCGCCUCACGCCCAGUUGCCGCUGCUCCUCGCCGCCAGACGCAGCCGCCGGUCGCCCCGCUCCUCGCCGCUGCUGCUCGCAAGGAAUGUAAGACGCACCAGCCCGAAACCCUCGCCGCCUUCCACAGCCUCCCGUCGCCGCACGCCGCUGCCCUCGGUUGGCGCUCGUCACUGCUCGUCCUCGCAGUCUGUCGCCGGUCUGCUCGUCCUCGCCGUAUAGUUCAUGUAUUAAUUUAUAUGUGAUUGUAGUGUUGAUUAAAUCCCUAGAUUCAUGGCAAAAUGGCAGAGAUGUACAUUUUCGUAAGUGGAAAAUCUGGCAAAAGAUGGUGCAAAAAUGGUGGUUAUCAGUAAUUCUUCAAGGAGGGCAUCAGUGACCCUGGAAAAGUUAAAGAGUCUUGGAUUUGAUCCAUCUCUCUUUGUGGGUGCAAUCACAAGUGGAGAAUUGACCUACCAGAACCUGCAGAGGAGAGACGAUCCAUGGUUUGCCGCACUUGGGAGGUCCUGCAUUCGCUUUACUUGGAAUGAUAGGGGGGGCUAUAUCUCUUGAGGGCUUGGGGUUACAAGUUGUGGAAGAUGUUCAAGAAGCUGAUUUUAUUUUAGCUCAUGGCACUGAGGCCAUUGGGCUUCGUUCUGGAGUUGCACUUCCAAUGAAGCUUGAGGAUCUUGAGAAAAUAUUAAAGAGGCUUCAAAUUUUAAUUUUUCAAGUCUAUUCAAUAGUUCACAAGAAGCUGUUAGUUCUGAUGAGUUAUUGGAGGACAGUGAGGCUUUUGAGGUCUGCCCGGAGAGUGUUCCCGGAGAAAUGGGGAGUUCUGCAGAGAAAGUUGUUGCUUUUAUCAUGGUAGGAGGACCAACCAAAGGUAUGGCUAGUAGUAAUCAAGAUUCUGGUUUUUCUUUGUGGAAUUAAUGUUGCCCUAUUUUUCAAUUUGUUUCAAUUCUGCUAAAUGUGUUGUUUAUUUAUGUAUAAAGUUUGAUUCAUUUUUCAAGGAUUUGAGUGUAAGUUUUUUUUUUUUAAAAUCAAUUCUGUUAAAUGUGUGGUUUGUGUAGAAAGUUGGAUUCUUUGUUCAUUGAGAAUGCAUUAAAAGAAAUGGGAAGGACAGAUUAUGAUGAUAAAACUGAUGAAUUGGUGCAUAAGGCUAAUGGUAUUUUCUUAAGAAAUGUGGCAGCAAGAGGGAAGAGUGGAGUUGGGUUUGAGGAGUGAGUUGCGUGGUGAGAGAGAUAGAGCUGAGAGUGCUUCUGUUGGGCUGUGGCAUGGGAUCUGUGAAGGGAGUUGAAGGGCAGUGGUGCACUUGUGAUUGUGCUGCUGUAAUUUGAUGAUGGGAAGUGGCUGAAAUGAGUAAGCCCGGUAGUUGGAUUCGGGGGUGUUACAAUCAUAUCGAUGAAACACUUGAGCUUGGAAUUCCACACUCCCAAAGGGAUUGGAGUGGUGCGAGGGGACCAACAGAUGGCUCGUGAAUGCUAUUGAAUGGCUUGUUAAAGAAUAGGGGAAGAACAACUAUCGGUAGGGAACGAGUAAGGAACAACCCGGAACCAGACAAACUUGGCAUAAGGGCCAAAUAAACUUGGAGCAAGUGAGGAAGAUUCUGCACGAAUAAACCUUUGAGAUGGACAUGAUAACUAAUGAAGCAUUGAAGAUGGUGGAUGCUGAUGAUGGGAAAAUUGUUAAAGAAGAUGAAUUCAAGAAAGUGUUGACAGAGGUACUAGCUGGAAUGAUGCUGCAGUUAUAUAGUAUUUCGUUUUUGUUUUUAUGUGCUUAGAAGCUACGAAGAAAGAGGAAGCUGAUGAUGAAGAUGGUAUGGAUGAAUUAAUUCCUAAGUGAUAAUAAUCUACAUGUUGAGAAGGUAACAAGAACCAAAAAGUGAUCAUCUACAUUCUAAUAUAUACAAUAUGUAAAGGCUUAAUCUCUUAAAUGCUUGUUUGAAAUGCUUGUUUAGGGCAAUGUGCAUACUAUAUGUUGGCUAGGAACAUGAAUACAACAGUUGAGAAUUUUCAGGUGUAUGUUUACAAUCAUGGAUUUAGUUGAAGUUCUUUUCUGAAGCAUGACUUGA